CCUACGUGAGGCAGCAGUAGGGAAUCUUCCACAAUGGGCGAAAGCCUGAUGGAGCAACGCCGCGUGGGUGACGAAGGUCUUCGGAUCGUAAAACCCUGUUGUUAGAGAAGAAAGUGCGUGAGAGUAACUGUUCACGUUUCGACGGUAUCUAACCAGAAAGCCACGGCUAACUACGUGCCAGCAGCCGCGGUAAUACGUAGGUGGCAAGCGUUAUCCGGAUUUAUUGGGCGUAAAGGGAACGCAGGCGGUCUUUUAAGUCUGAUGUGAAAGCCUUCGGCUUAACCGGAGUAGUGCAUUGGAAACUGGGAGACUUGAGUGGAGAAGAGGAGAGUGGAACGCCAUGUGUAGCGGUGAAAUGCGUAGAUAGAUGGAAGAACACCAGUGGCGAAAGCGGCUCUCUGGUCUGUAACUGACGCUGAGGUUCGAAAGCGUGGGUAGCAAACAGGAUUAGAUACCCUGGUAGUC
rnacentral:rRNA from 1 species